AAGGUCUGGGUAUCACUGUAGGGCUGAUAGCUUUGUUUUGUUUUGUUUUGCAGUGCUGGGGAUUGAACCGGCUUCACACAAACUGGGCACGAACUGUAUCACUGAGCUACACCCUCAGCCCCCGGGUUGAAGUUCUUGAGAAGAAAGUAUGCUUCCCACAUUCUUUCCUUGUCUACUGACUGGAAACAAAGGGCUCCAAAGCCCUAGGGGAUAGUGAAAGUGGUCAGCUAUCCUGUCCAGGACCGAAGAAGUUCCUAGAAUGUCGGCCUCUUGGUUUUACAAGUGGCACAAUCCUGGAAGAAAUGGGAUAGGUUAGUCACCUUAGAAGAUACUCACUGACUAAGAACUCCACCGCACUAUCAUUUCAAAGUACCCAGCAUGCCAAGACCUCAUACUCUGGAGUAUCACAAGCCCAGCAAUUGCCACCCCCUCACAUCACCUUAACUGGUACACAGUAGAAUUUACUAGCUGGGGGUUCAAACUCGGGACCUUGCACUUUCAAGGAAGGCAGAAUUAUACUUUCAUUCUUGGCACGACUAAUAGUCUUAUGAAAUUUAACCCAAAACGCCUAUCUCUUGAUUGCUGUGCCCUGAGAGCCAGUGCCACAGGAAACAAAAGCAGAC
rnacentral:lncRNA from 1 species